GCCCAGGUGGUGUAACCGGUAGCCACAAGAGACUUAAAAUCUCUCGACGAAAGUCAUGCGGGUUCGAGUCCCGCCCUGGGCA
rnacentral:tRNA from 1 species